rnacentral:rRNA from 1 species
AUUGAACGCUGGCGGCGUGCCUAACACAUGCAAGUUGAGCGCUUGAGGGGGGCAACCCCAACGAGAGCAGCGAACGGGUGAGUAACGCGUGGGUGAUCUUCCUUCGAGUGGGGAACAACAUCGGGAAACUGGUGCUAAUUCCGCAUAAUAUCCCGGGGCUACGAGCCUCAGGAUCAAAGCCGGGGACCGCAAGGCCUGGCGCUUGAAGAUGAGCCCGCGUCCGAUUAGCUAGUUGGCGGGGUAAGUGGCCCACCAAGGCUUCGAUCGGUAGCCGGCCUGAGAGGGCGGACGGCCACACUGGAACUGAGACACGGUCCAGACUCCUACGGGAGGCAGCAGUGGGGGAAUUUUUUCGCAAUGGGCGCAAGCCUGACGAAGCAACGCCGCGUGGAGGAUGAAGGUCUUCGGAUUGUAAACUCCUGUCGACCGGGACGAAUGCACUCGACCUAAUACGUCGGAAUGUUGACGGUACCGGUGGAGGAAGCCACGGCUAACUCUGUGCCAGCAGCC